rfam:Schistosoma mansoni strain Puerto Rico chromosome 7, complete genome
AUCCAGUAGACGAGUCCCAAAUAGGACGAAGUGGCGUGCGUUCUGGAU